AACGAACGCUGGCGGCGUGCCUAACACAUGCAAGUCGAACGAGAAAGUUUCCUUCGGGAAAUGAGUAGAGUGGCGCACGGGUGAGUAACACGUGGAUAAUCUGCCUGAUAAUCUGGGAUAACAUUUCGAAAGAAGUGCUAAUACCGGAUAAGCCCACAGUAUCUUCGGGUACAGCGGGAAAAGAUGGCCUCUUCUUGAAAGCUAUUGUUAUCAGAUGAGUCCGCGGUCCAUUAGCUAGUUGGUGGGGUAAUGGCCCACCAAGGCGACGAUGGAUAGCUGGUUUGAGAGAAUGAUCAGCCACACUGGAACUGAGACACGGUCCAGACUCCUACGGGAGGCAGCAGUGGGGAAUCUUGCGCAAUGGGGGCAACCCUGACGCAGCAACGCCGCGUGAGUGAUGAAGGUUUUCGGAUCGUAAAGCUCUGUCAAGAGGGAAGAAACCUUUGUUGGCUAAUACCCAACAGAAUUGACGGUACCUCUAGAGGAAGCACCGGCUAAC
rnacentral:rRNA from 1 species